GAUUUCUAGCCAAGAGUUCACCCAUCUUCCCAGAAGCCUCACAGUGGUAUGAAGGAGAAACUGGAGGGGAGAGAAAUGAAGCCAGAGACUUGACUGGACUCUACUUCACUAAUCUAGGGCUCUUGAAGGUGUGAACCAUCGUCCAAAGGGAAGCCUGACUUUCCUUAGAAGACACUGCUUUCAUGGAUAGAGCACCGACCUUGGAUUCAGGAACACCUGAGUUCAAACCGGGCCUCAGGAGGUGAUCAGCGGAUUCUUUCAGUG